GACGAACGCUGGCGGCGUGCUUAACACAUGCAAGUCGAACGGAAAGGCCCUGCUUUUGUGGGGUGCUCGAGUGGCGAACGGGUGAGUAACACGUGAGUAACCUGCCCUUGACUUUGGGAUAACUUCAGGAAACUGGGGCUAAUACCGGAUAGGAGCUCCUGCUGCAUGGUGGGGGUUGGAAAGUUUCGGCGGUUGGGGAUGGACUCGCGGCUUAUCAGCUUGUUGGUGGGGUAGUGGCUUACCAAGGCUUUGACGGGUAGCCGGCCUGAGAGGGUGACCGGCCACAUUGGGACUGAGAUACGGCCCAGACUCCUACGGGAGGCAGCAGUGGGGAAUAGUGCAAAAUGGGCGGAAGCAUGAUGCAGCAACGCCGCGUGCGGGAUGACGGCCUUCGGGUUGUAAACCGCUUUCGCCUGUGACGAAGCGUGAGUGACGGUAAUGGGUAAAGAAGCACCGGCUAACUACGU
rnacentral:rRNA from 1 species